rnacentral:lncRNA from 1 species
GAAUAAAAGAAUUUUAGACUUUAUAAUUCUUCACAUGAAUAAUCUCUAUAAAGUGGUCGAAAGUACAACUUUUUGAUUUUAUUUCAUCUCUAAGAAUAUCACUUUAAAAUAUUGUUUAUUAAAACUAAACACUCUAAAAUCCAUACCCACUCUGUUGUGCUGUCUUCUGCAAAAGAAACUUAAGAAUUUGGGCUUGGAGCCAUUUGGAAUCCCAUCAUCUGCACUUAUUAGCUGUAUAACAUUGGCCAUAUUAUUUAACCAUGAUGAGCUUAACUUUGCUCUUUCUUUAGUGGAAGUGAUUGGUUUUUUUGUUUUUUGAGGAUAAGUUAGAUACUGCAUGUGGUAAGUGCUUAAUGAGUUGCAGUAAUGCUGAGGCUCUAAUAACAUUUUAUUUUUUUAUUUUUAUUUUGCUUUCAUAACAUUUUAAAAUGCCAUUGCUUUUGGUUUUGUAUCUCUUCUUCUCAAGAGGAACUUAUGCUCUGAUUUAUCUGUACUUAUUUAUAGCUGCUAUUAGAGUAAACAAUGUGACCUUCCUCGACAAAAUUGAGCCCCUGUCCCUAAUGGAACUUUUUAACUUUUAAUCCUCAGCACUGAGUGGUAUCCACUCCUUGUAACAUGCUGCAGUAAUUAAUUGAAGGGCAAAAUCAUGAUAAUCUUGACAGAUGCAGAAAAUGUACAUGAUGAAAUUCAACAUUCAUUUAUGAUGAAAAAAUGCUCUUAGCAAACCUGUUUAAAACAGACAUUCAAUGAUCUAAUAAUGGAUGUCUACAACAAGCAAAAUGACAAAAUAUUUAGUGAUGAGAUAAUGAGAUUAUUCCCUUCGAAAUUGGGAACAAGGAAGGAUAUUAUCACUCCUAUUCAACAGUUGCUCAAGUUCAUAGUAAUGCAGCAGGCAACACAAAAGACAUGAAAUUGUAUAAAGUUUUGAAACGAAAAUAUAAAAGUAAUUUUUUUUUUUUUAGGGCCGCACCUGCAGCAUACGGAAGUUCCCAGGCUAGGGGUUGAGUCAGAGCUGCAGCUGCUGGCUUGCACCACAGCCACAACAAUGUGGGAUCUGAGCCACAUUUGCAACCUAUACCACAGUUCACAGAAACACUGGAUCCUUAACCCACUGAGCAAAACCAGGGAUCAAACCUGCAUCCUCAUGGAUACUAGUCAAGUUCACUGGGACACAAAGGGACCUCCUGAAAAAUUUUAAAAUCAAUUUCUAAGACAACUUACAGAAUGGGAGAAAAUAGUUGAAAAUGAUACAACUGACAAGGGCUUAAUCUCUAAAAUAUUCAAACAACUUAUAGAACUCAACAGCAAAGAUACCAACAACCCAACUGAAGAAUGGGCAGAAGACCUGAACAGACAUUUCUCCAAAGAAGAUAUACAGGUGGCUAACAAGCACAUGCAAAAAUGCUCAACAUCACUGAUUAUUAGGGAAAUGCACAUCAAAAUUACUAUGAGGUGUACCACCUCAUGCCAGUCAGAAUGGCCAUCAUUAAUAAGUCCACAAAUAACAAAUGUUGGAGAGAGUGUGGAGAAAAGGGAAUCCUUCUGCACUGUUGGUGGGAAUGUAAAUUGGUACAACCAGUAUGGAGAACAGUAUGGAGGUACUUUAGAAAACUAUACAUAGAGCUACCAUAUGACCCAGAUAUCCCACUCUUUGGCAUAUAUCUAGACAGAACUUUCCUUGAAAAAUACACAUGCACCUGUAUGUUUAUUGCAACACUAUUCACAAUAGCCAACACAUAGAAACAACCCAAAUGUCCAUCGACAGAUGACUGGACUAGGAAGAUGUGGUAUAUAUCACAAUGGAAUACUCCUCAGCCAUAAAAAGAACAAAAUGCCAUAUGCAGCAACAUGGUUGGAACUAGAGACUUUCAUCCUGAGUGAAGUAAGUCAGAAAGAGAAAGACAGAUACCAUAUGAUAUCACUUAUAUCUGGAAUCUAAUAUAAGGCACAAAUGAAUCUUUCCACAGAAAAGAAAAUCAUGGACUUGGAGAAUAGACUUGUGGUUGCCUAGGGGGAAGGGGAGGGAGUGGGAUGGAUUGGGAAUUUGGGGUUAAUAAUAGAUGCAAACUAUUGCCUUUGGAUGAAUAAGCAAUGAUAUCCUGCUGUAUAGCACUGGGAACUAUGUCUAGUCACUUAUGGCGGAGCAUGAUAAUGUGAGAAAAAGGAAUGUUUAUGUGUAUGUGUGACUGGGUCACCUUGCUGCAUAGUAGAAAACUGACAGAACACUGUAAACCAGCUAUAAUGGAAAAAAAUCAUUAAAUAAAAGAAAUAAAGGAAGGGAAAAUAAAAAUAAUAAAAUCAAUUUCUAUACAUCAGAAAGUGUCAGGAAAUUAAAUUUAGCAUAUGCUUUUAUAAUUACAUCAUAAUAUUAAAUAUCUAGUAAUCUGCUAGACUUAUAUACAAAAAUUGCAAUCGCUAAGAGAUAUUAAAUAAAAUCUAAAUCUAAAUUAUGUUAUAAAAUAUAAAUGGAUUGGAAAACUCAAUCUUAUAUCAAUUGUCCAUGAAAUGCUGCAAUCUAAACUCAACAAUUUUUAAAAAUUUGGUGAGCUGAUUGUAAAGUUUACAAGGAAAUGUGAAGGACUUAAGAGAGCCAUGAUUUUUUUGAAGAAUAAAUAUGAGAUGAGAGGACUUAUUCUCAGAUGCCAAAAUAUUAUAAAGCUACAAUAAUUAAGGCAGUGUAGUAUGGGUCAUGAAUAGACAAAUAGACCAAUGUAGAUUUGAAAUAAACCGAAGAAAUCAGGAAUCAUCUGCCACAUAUGGGAACAGUUGCCUCUGUGAAACAAAGCUCUGAGAUCUGGCUGGACUCCACUUUGCAUGGGCAGAUGCUUGAUUAUAGGCUCUGGGGGCCAAGGGAAGCUAUAUUAUGAUAUGCUGCACUUAAUUCUGCCUGGUAUGGCCACCUUGCUCCCAUUAAGCUUUAAAGCCUUUGUCAAGAAGCUUAAUUCUGUAGCUCAUCUGACUGUUUCAAAUAUUUUUGGUAUGAGGACAAGCCUGACUAGAAUUGAGACAAAUGCCAAGAUUCUUAAAGAGAGAAAGGGGACCAGAGUAUUCUGUCAAUCUUUUUUUCUUUUACUUUUUAGGGCCAAACCUGCAGCAUAUGGAAGUUUCCAGGCUAGGGGUUGAAUCAGAGCUACAGCUGCCAGCCUAUGCCACAGCCACAGCAACACAGGAUCUGAGCCACGUCUGCGACCUACACCACAGCUCAAGGCAACACCAGAUCCCUGACCCACUGAGCAAGACCAGGGAUCAAACCUGCAUCCUCAUGGAUACUAGUCAGGUUUGUUACCCCUGAGCCACAGCAGGAACUCCUUUUGGGGGCAGUUUUUAUGGGCAAGUCAUAUCAGUUGAAUUGUCUUCUAAACCCGUAUUUUCCAAUGGUAGAGCUUUGGGGAUAAAGAGGAACGAUGUGAUAACAAACAGUAGAUAGAUCCCCAGUAGCUCCCAAUCCUGGUAGCCAAGUGCUAGGAGUAUAAACCAGCCAAGUUGUAAGGAUGUAAUUAAGGAAGUUGAGAGUGCAAAGGCAGGCAGGGUAUGACAAGUGAAAGUCUCACCUCUGGGAACCUGUCAAGAUAACACUGAGGAAAGAAGAAAGGUCUGAGCUUCUCUCAGGUGCCUGCCAGACUGACAGUGGUGACUUUUCAAUUAGAAAUUAAAUAAAUGCCACAAGUGUGGAUUCAGGAAGAUGAGAGAAUGGAGCUUCCCUGACCCAACUCUCUGUGUGGGAGGGGCUAAAAAUACAGGGGCUGAGUAUAAGCCAAGCACAUUUUUUUGUGUCUAUACUACUGUUUUAUUUCAGAAAAACUCUGUCUUUAUAUGCAGGUUAAUCUUUUUUAUUCUUACAGAUAGCUCUUUCGCCUUGUGAAAGGAGCUAGACCAGACUGUCACUGAAUUACUGUAUGCAGUAUUCUGAGAUGUUUGAGAUUUUUUCUUAAAAAUUUUGUUGAGGUGAUAAGGUCUCAAAUAAUUUUCUACUUGGAAAAGAUACUUUUAAAGUAGGGCAUUAAGGAUGCCUAACAAAGACAUAGAUAAUUUAUUAGUAAAUUAUAAAAAUAUAUUGUACAUGUUUUCUUAAGGAAAAUAUUACCUUGUUGGAUGAGAACUGAGAAAAAGCAGUAGAGAGAAAUAUUCUGGAGAAAAACAAUGGACCUAAAAAGUUUUCCACUAAACAGAAAGUACAGAGGCCAGUGUCAGGUAUAGCUGGAUCCAGAUGCUCUCACAAUAUGACCAGAAAACUAACUGUAUUCAUUUCUGAGCUUCUUGCAUUUUUAUUUUCAUUCUCUAAAAAACUCUUCCCACCUGGUGGUAAAGAUGGACAGAAAAAACUCAAGUCUUUAUUCUAUCAUAUUCACAACUCUAGCAAAAUAAAUACAUCCCUUUUAUGAUUAUAUUAUUAAAAGUCUUUGAAUUGGCUCUGGUUUUCCAGGCCUGCGUGAUUGGGGCUGGGGUCAGUCUAAUCUGAAUCACGUAGACAAAAUUGUGCAAGAGUGCUGUGCUGAUGAACAUUUUUUUCCACUGCAAAAUAAUCACUAAGUGGAAGUGUGAUAAGUAUCUAUUGCUUAGAAAAUAUUUGUCAUGCUUCUAAUGUCCCCAGUCUUGCCAAUAUGCCUGCCUGGCUCUUAGAAGACAGUUGGGUUGUCUUCACUAGUGAAGUCUCCCUCCUUUUCAGGUAUACACACUUCCAGAUGGGUAAAGCCCAUGGAACCUGUGGUGUGCCAUAUUUUUUUUCCAUGAAAAUUUUAGUGAUUUAAAACCAGUGGUGUUUUUCAGGUCAUUGUGUUUCCAUUUAAUAAAGUACUUAAUAUGAGAAUUUUAAAGUUGGGAUCAGUACUCCAUAUUUUGGGCCACGUCUAUCCCUCAGCAUUUUUUUAAUGACAUACCUUAAUUUCAAAAGUAAACUCUUCCCCAGUCAUUCAACAUCCAUUUGUUAUGGGCCUGCUAGUUAUGAUCUACUUAGGUACAAGGUUUGUUAAUUAACAUGUAAAUCAGGGUCUCUGUCCACGAUAUCCAGCAUAAUGAAUCUCAUUUACCCCUGUUCAGAUCUGUCUCUUUUCUUUCUACUCUGAGCUUAGAUUUGCCCCCAUGUAAGAAGUUUAAAUUUUUCAACAAAAAUUAAGUAUUUCUUUUUAACUAAAGCUGUUUUGAAGGCACACUCUAGUGAGAGUAGUCUGAUACAAAUGACACCAUUCAUAGUGAACAACUAACAGGUCAGCUGCAGAUUGAGUCAUGUUUUAACAAGUAGAGCAUGUGUGUGAACUCUGACCCCCAGGCAAGGUUUCUGCAACUUAACAAUUAAAAUAGUGAAUGUAAUAAUCUCCUGAAAACUAUUGUACAUGUCAGAAACUCUAACCAAAGUAGUAUUGCCAGGCAAGGUUUCUGCAACUUAACAAUUAAAAUAGUGAAUGUAAUAAUCUCCUGAAAACUAUUGUACAUGUCAGAAACUCUAACCAAAGUAGUAUUGCCAGGCAAGGUUUCUGCAACUUAACAAUUAAAAUAGUGAAUGUAAUAAUCUCCUGAAAACUAUUGUACAUGUCAGAAACUCUAACCAAAGUAGUAUUGCCAGGCAUUGUUCUUGAAAAAACUUACAAUAAGAGAAAAACUUUUUUUUUCCUGUUAUGCCUCUUUUUUUUCAGGAAGAAGCAAAAGGAAUCUUAAUGAAUUGGAGACAAUUGGAGGUGGUUUAUAAGGAUGAAGUUCAAAGGUUUUUCUUUAGAAGCCAUUGAGUUGGUAGUCUAGGAGAGCACCUUGUAGUGGUAUUUGCAUAAGGAGAAAGAUGUCAAAUAUUCAAAGAUGCCUUUACUCAAAGAGCCAGUGGCACUUAAGUGGCCAAAUAGCUUAUAAGCACUUAUUAAGGUAAGCAAAGCCUCACUCAUUGCUUGUUGUCAGACAUCUGAUUCUAAUUAUGGGAGAGCUAGAUAAACGAUGAUGCUUGGGGUAGAUAGAAGCUGGUAUGCCUUUUCUAAGCUCAUUAGUGCUUACAGCUUGCCAGUUUACACAUACACACACAAGGGGUCUGAAAUAAAGACUAGUUUCUGUGUUGUUUGUGUCUGUAUUCUAGUGAUAAUCUUCUGCAGGGAUAAAUACAGCUUCAGAUGUAACCCUAGAUUAAAAAAGCAAAAAAUAAAAAAAAACCUAGCUUUCAGUUCACAUUUUCUCAAAUCACCCUCCAGCCCUAACCCCUGGAGUAUCACUGGAGCUGUAUUACUGUUAUUUCUCCCUAAAUCACACAAUCCCAUUUCUCUACCGUUUUUUGCUUUCCCUAACUGCACUCUAACCCCUGCCACAACAAGAUCAAAAACAACAUCAAGGAAAACCCCACAAAGGUUUUGUUUAAAUUCCCUUCUACCUCACUUUCCAUCAAAUAAAUUCCUUAGAAGUCAUAUCAUGAUUAAUAUUGUUAGUUUUCAGUAGAAUCAUUCCACUAAUUUCACAAAAAUAUGAAUCAUAAAGAUAGAAGAUUGAACAUUAUUUAUAUAUUCUUAUUUCUUCUACUUUUUAUGUUAGAAUCCUAAAAAACAAAAAUUGAUUUUUACUAAUGUGUCAUUGCUACAUAUGAAGCAUAUAUGAGAAAAUUUACUUAAAUUUAACUCAGUUUACAGUAGCCUCACCCAGCUUGCUAUUACUAUUAUCUUUCAAUAAUUUUUCUCCCCAGCUGCUAUCAGCUGCUACUUAAACCUAUGUGCUUAAUAAAUAGAGUUGGGGUGAUUUUCAUUUCUAUUUUCUUCUUUUCCAUAUUUUCAAAAAUUUUCAAGAGAUUUUGUGAUACUGAUCACCUCCUUGAACUGGGGAAAUAACCAGGAAAUACAUUCCACGUCUCAUUGCCUCUGAAUAACCACAUGCACAAGCAACCAUCGCUUAAGGAAGACUCAGAAUCCUAGGGACAACAGAUCAUGUGUGGUUACAGGCACCAUUUUAAAGAUCAGGCUAGCUCUGAGUUGCCAUGGCAAACUAUUUGAAAUAGUCUGCUCUACAGAUUCUGCCUGCUGUAUGGGGUUGUUUAUAUAGUCCAGUGUAAAUGAUAUCACUGGGAAACAACUAAGCUCCUAUUACAAUGACUAAAAUCAACAAGCAAUGACUUGCCAACAUAAUACUUGUUUAUUCUCAUCUUGGUAUGUGUUUCGUGGAAUACUCCUUACAAUUACCAUACACUUAAAAGGGGAAAUUUUACUGAAUGUAAAUUUU